UUGAUUUUUAUGCGGUCAUCAUAUCAUGUGAACGAUAAUUAGUAAUGGCUCAGAAUUAGUUUGCAUUCUAUUCGUUUUUAUUUCUUACUUUUGUAGGUUUUAUGAUUUUACUCUAAUCGGGCUAGCAUGUCCCACUUUCGCAACUAAAUAUCUCUCUGUUACUUCUUUCUCUUGGCUGCCAAGAAAAAAGGGCAGCCUUGGUGCACUAAGCUCCUAUGUGCGGGGUCCGGGGAAGAGCUGGACCAGAAGGGUCUAAUGUACGCGGCCUUACUCAAUAUUUCUGUAAGAGGUUGUUUUCACGGCUUGAGCCCGUGACUUUCGGAGAUGAACAACACCAUUUGCGGACGCAAUCCAGUUAGCACUUUAUUCCAUGUAACUCUCUUUUUUUGACAAAUUAUUUUUUCUGAAAGAAGGUGUUGCCUUCCCUUUGUGGUUGUACAUUAAAGUUAUUUUCAUGAUCAGGUAUGUUUCAGCUUUUCGGGCU